AUCUACAGCCAUACCACCCUGAACGCACCCGAUCUUGUCUGAUCUUGGAAGCUAAGCAGGGUCAGGCUUGGUUAGUACUUGGAUGGGAGAUAAAAUGAAUAGUAGAAGGAAUAUGACUU
rnacentral:rRNA from 2 species